UUGUUUUGUACUUUGGCUUUAAUAAGAUAGCUAUUAUGUUUAUUGAAUGUUAUUUUGAACCAAUGAAUUAGGAAAGGUUGAGAUUUUAUAGUUAAAUAUCAAAUAUUGUGUUUAUUGUUUAUUAUUUAGUGGUUGUGAUUUGAUUUGAUUGUUAGAUUAUUUUACUAUAUGAAUUGAAGUAUUCAUUAAGUUAAUAUAUAACCUUACGUUUGUUUGGUGUAGGUAAAAUCAGCUAAAGGGUAAGGAUUUACGUAUAAUAAGUUUGUCUCUUUCUAUAGAUGAAUUUGAAGAGAAAUGUAGAGGGGGAGGGAGGGAAGUUAUAGUAUAUAUACCUUAUUCUUGAGAUAACUUUGUUAGAUCUAUUUAUUUAAAGAAAUUAUUUAAUAUUUGAAAAAGACAAUCACUAUUUAAACAUAGGUUUAUUUAAUUUUUCAGUGGCAUUAGACUGUAAAUAUUGUGUAAAUUUAAGGGUAAAAUUUAAAUUGUACUUCAGUUUUAAUAGAUUAGAUUGUGUAAUAAUCAAUCCAGUUAUUUAUGAUAUUAGUCAGUAAGUAUUUUAAGCUUGCGCCUGUAUUUAUUUUUUAAAUAAAAAUUUACUAUUCCCUCUGUUUUAUU
rnacentral:lncRNA from 1 species